UCCGGUUUGACACCGGCAGUCUCCCUAGAGUGCCCGGCUUUACCCGCUGGUAACUAGGACCGAGGGUCGCGCUCGUUGCGGGACUUAACCCAACAUCUCACGACACGAGCUGACGACAGCCAUGCAGCACCUCGACUCCCGUCCCUUGCGGGAAAACCGUGUUUCCACAGUCGUUCGUGAGCCGUUCGAGCCUAGGUAAGGUUCUUCGCGUUGCGUCGAAUUAAACCACAUGCUCCACCGCUUGUGCGGGCCCCCGUCAAUUCCUUUGAGUUUCAACCUUGCGGUCGUACUCCCCAGGCGGGGUACUUCCUGCGUUAGCGCCGGCACCCAGAGGGUCGCUCCCCCAGGCACCUAGUACCCAUCGUUUACGGCGUGGACUAC
rnacentral:misc_RNA from 1 species